GCCUGUAGUCCCAGCUACUCAGGAGGCUGAGGCCGGAGGAUCGCUUGAGUCCAGGAGUUCUGGGCUGUCGUGCGCUAUGCCGAUCGGGUGUCUGCACUAAGUUCGGCAUCAAUAUGGUGACCUCCCGGGAGCGGGGGACCACCAGGUUGCCUAAGGAGGGGUGAACCGGCCCAGGUCGGAAACGGAGCAGGUCAAAACUCCCGUGCUGAUCAAUAUUGCUUUUUUUAAAGAUUUAUUUCUUUAUUUGAAAGUCAGAGUUGCAGAGGGGGAGAGAGAGAGAGAGAGAGUUCUU
ensembl:misc_RNA Metazoa_SRP Metazoan signal recognition particle RNA